UGGUAGACUAUGCUGGAUGUGACAUGGGA
rnacentral:piRNA from 1 species